CACCGCACUCCUGCCUCCACAGUGGAGUGAUGCACAGAGGCUCACGAGGGAGGUGACUCACAGUGGAUGGGGCAGGAGCGGCCAUCUUUGGUGUCAACAAGAGGUCAUCGGCCUAGCUGCCACCACAGGUCAAGUGAAACCGUGGAAGACACUCUCAGAAGUGGAGAGAGGCCCCCACUGCCCAACUCAUUCACUCUCCGGCAGUCCCUGAGCGCUGGUAAAAACCAGAGACAUCCAUCCUGAACUACCUUGUUCAGGAGAUGGGAGGAGCGGCCGCGGAGAUGAAGGAAAUAAAAGCUUUUAGACAGGGCCCUUCGUGCCAAGAAUACCUCCGGAGGUCCACAAGUACUCACAAGACCAAAGGGAAGCCCGUGCCAAUAUCUCUGUUUGUUGACUCAUUGAAAUAUUCCAUCCCGGGGUCAUUGCCAUUGAAAACAUCUCCUCCAUCUGGAACCUUCUCCGCACCGAGGACACAAUUGCUUCAUUCAUCUCUUCCGCGGAGGAAGCUGUCACCAAGUCUCGGCUGCCUCCACCAGUGGCUGGGUGAAGUGACAAGCCCGGCCUUGCCCACGGAGACACCAAGAACCAAGCUCUUGUGUGGGUCGAGUCUUGGGUGUCUUUCCCACCCUGCGGUCUGCACCCUCCCCCUUGCUCACAGCCCUGCCCCAUACAGCUCCCUCUCCAAAGGAAUCAGGCAGGCAGGCAGGCGGGAAUAGAAGUAGGACUUCCCAUCCCCAUCAGCAUCCAGGGAGAUUCACACAGGGCACACCCCAGGCCCACGAGGAGGAAGGGACUCUUCUAAUGUGCCUUCUAGGUGUGUGUGAUCUUUACAACCUGACACUGGCCUUUUGUGAAAGAAAGAAAAAAAAACAACCAACAACAAAACUGUCAAGGGUCCCAGUGGCAAGGGAGGAAGAAACUUGAACCCAAGGAGCUACUACCAGUUGAAUGUGGGCAAUCCGUUAAGGUUCUGAAUUUGGUCCUGUGUCUCUCUGAUGGGAAGACUUAACUCCAGGUCCCCUUUAACCCAGAGGACUGUGAGGAGGGAAGCCAAGCCCAAGUAGGAGUGUGAUAUGCAAGGGUCAAUGGGCUAUGAGCUCCACAGGACAGGUUUGAGCCUCCUGCACCCGCAUCUGCGACAAGCUGAGCCGCAUCAGUGCCCGGCAUAAGACCAGCUCACACUUGACGUUGGAGUAGAAUAAGAGGGACCUGGGGAGAGUUUCUGAUGGUCCAGACAGUCAGGAGGAAGGGUUCGGAACAAGGAAGGAAGCAUGGUGUGGCAGCUCACUCUGGCUCAGGCCUGAGCACACCUUCUGGGGACAGGAACCCGACCAAGGACCUCCAAACUCAGCUUGACCAGCCAGACCCAUUUCCGUCUUCGGGGAAGAACCUUGGGACCCUCUCGCAAGAGGUUAAGACCGAGUGACCUAAGCCACAGCACGCUUCACAGGGAGAUCUAAGCCAGAGCGGGCAGCAGGGGUGGACCGCCUCACGGACAGCCAUCACUCCUGGGUCACAUAGAGAGCUUGGGCUUGGCUGAUCUGAGAGGCAGCAUCCAGGCAGGGUUUGGUUAGCGAUGCGUGGGAAAUGAAACAGAUUCUGUGUUUUCAUUAACUGCUCUCAAUUCCAUGUCGCAGAGGUUAGCAUUCCUAUUU